rnacentral:rRNA from 1 species
UACGAGGGAUCCUAGCGUUGUUCGGAAUCAUUGGGCGUAAAGGGUGUGUAGGCGGCCAAGUAAGUCAGUUGUGAAAUCCCCGGGCUCAACCCGGGAAGUGCUUCUGAUACUGCUUGGCUUGAGUAUUGGAGAGGUGAGUGGAAUUCCAGGUGUAGUGAUGAAAUACGUAGAUAUAUGGAAGAACACCAAUAACGGCGAAGGCAGUUAACUAUUCUGUUACUGACAUUGAGGCACGAAAGCGUGGGGAGCAAAACGG